CACCGCGGUUAUACGAGAGACUCAAGCUGAUAAUCGUCGGCGUAAAGUGUGGUUAAGAUAUAUUUACACUAGAGCUGAAUGCCCUCAAAGCUGUUACACGCCCUCGAAGGUAAGAAACCCAACUACGAAAGUGACUCUGCUAUAUCCGAUUCCACGAAAGCUAGGGCA
rnacentral:rRNA from 1 species